rnacentral:rRNA from 1 species
ACAGCAGCCGCCGCGGUAAUACGUAGGCAGCGAGCGUUGUUCGGAAUUACUGGGCGUAAAGAGUGUGUAGGCGGUGCUCUAAGUUCGGUGUGAAAUCUCCUGGCUUAACUGGGAGGGUGCGCCGGAAACUGGAAUGCUCGAGCGUGGGAGAGGAAAGCGGAAUUCCUGGUGUAGCGGUGAAAUGCGUAGAUAUCAGGAGGAACACCUGUGGUGUAGACGGCUUUCUGGACCAUUGCUGACGCUGAGACACGAAAGCGUGGGUAGCAAACAGGAUUAGAUACCCCAGUAGUCCCUGUCUCUUAUAC